AUGGCCGAGUGGUCUAAGGCGCCAGACUCAAGUUCUGGUCCUCUUACGAGGGCGUGGGUUCAAACCCCACUUCUGACAUUUUCUUUCUUUCUUUUUGGCUCAAUAAAAAUAUGA
rnacentral:rRNA from 1 species